UAUAUACUCCCUCCGUUCCGAAUUAUUUGUCGCAAUUAUGGAUGUAUCUAGAUGUAUUUUAGUUCUAGAUACAUCCAUUUCUGCGACGUAUAAUUUGGAACGGAGGGAGUAAUAC
rfam:Triticum aestivum genome assembly, contig: Triticum_aestivum_CS42_TGACv1_scaffold_112339_2AS